rnacentral:lncRNA from 1 species
GUGUUGCUGCAGGGAGCCUCUGGGAGCCCAAGGGUGGAGAGAUCUACCUUCAUCUGAAGAUCUCUGCUAAAGGUAAAGACCUCCUAACAGGCCAGACAGCCUUAGCAGGAGUUCAGAAGUCUUACACCAAGUGCUGCCUGUCUGAGGAUUUGCUGUCCUGCUGGCAGAGACAGGAGUCCUCACAGAGAGUUGUCCACACUGCUGCUUCACGGUCCCAAGGAAUCCUUUAGAGCAUUACAUUCCCCUGUUCGGAGUGUGGACAAGUGUUUGGCAUUCUGCUUCUACAGAUCGCUGCCGCUCGUGGAGCGCAGAGGGGACGGCGAGACUCCUGCAUCUUUCAGCGAGAAGAAAGAAGCCAGCGGAGCAGACUAAUACGGACUUGUGUCGGGUGCCCUUGCACUACAAAGGCUGCCUUUAAAAGAGGAACGCAGUGCUAUUUAAUGAGCUGUGAGAUGAGGCACUGCUGCUAACGCUCAGAUCCCAGGAUUCAUCGGCUAUUCAUUGUGCUUAAUGUACAUGUUUCUGCACCGUGCAUUUAGGAGAUCCCAGAGAAGAAUCCAAAACGGCUG